rnacentral:rRNA from 1 species
AGAACGAACGCUGGCGGCAGGCUUAACACAUGCAAGUCGAACGCACUCUUCGGAGUGAGUGGCAGACGGGUGAGUAACGCGUGGGAACCUACCUAGUAGUACGGAACAACUGAGGGAAACUUCAGCUAAUACCGUAUACGCCCCAAGGGGGAAAGAUUUAUCGCUAUUAGAUGGGCCCGCGUAAGAUUAGCUAGUUGGUGGGUAACGCCUACAAGGCGACGAUCUUUAGCUGGUCUGAGAGGAUGAUCAGCCACACUGGACUGAGACACGGCCCAGACUCCGUACGGGAGCAG